GGACGUAACAGUAUGGCUUUUAAGUAGUGUUGUUCUUUUAUAUUUCUGUGGAUGUGAAGGCGGAAAAUGCACUCAGUAUGAUUCAUGUAAAUACGCUUGUAGAAGUACAUACUACACAAGUUGUGGAUUCUGGUCGCUCGCAAGAUGUACAUAUUACAGAUCUACCUUCUGCUACAAGACGUGCAGUCGAAGCGUGUGCUGUGACGGAUAUCAGGGGUCGGGUUGCAUUCAACCAAUUUGUUUCGGAUCGACCAAUUGCCCAAACGGCGGAACAUGUAGAGCACCAAACUUGUGCAGUUGUCGAACAGGCUAUUCCGGAUUAAAAUGUUCUGGUACUAAUUUUCUUACUUAAAUCAGCUCAAGGGGGAAGUUAUGUAGAAUACUGUAACCGAUCAAUCUUCACCGGAAUUGUAUUUCCUUUUUAUUUACAAUUCUACUAAUGGCUAUAUGUUACCAGUUGAAUAACAUACCUUAAAUGUAUUGGUAUUAUAUCAAAGACAGAUGAUGAAAAAUAUUUCGUCUCUCAGGUGUUUUUAAGGAUUAAACUAUAAUAGUUUGAGUCACUAAAUGUUAACGUG